UUCGCUUGAUAACGAAGAGCUCGCAACCACGUGUGUGUUGAGUUUUGUGUUGCUACUGGAUUCAUCAACAUGAGGCUGCAGCUGACAUGUAUAUUUCUGUUAAAGAACAUAGUUUUGGCUACAGCAGUCAGAGAACCAUCGAGUCCGGCGUGUUCUCGUUAUGAUUACGAGGAACGCUUGUUGGAAAGAGUUUUGCGCAAUUAGCUUUCCAUCGAAAAUAUGUUAAAAGAAAUAUGUGAGACUAAUGUAAAAGUGGAAUCUGCAUUAAAAUUGAUGCAUGAAGACAGACACAAACUAGCAGCGUCGAAAGAAGAAAUGGACACAGAAAUAAAAGCCACACUACAUGUCAGUCUUAAAAACAUGUCCGAUUCUCUUGCAUUUAUGAAACAUUUGCAUGCAGAAAUGGGAACCCAAUUGAAUGAUGUAAUCAAUACCUCGAUGAUAAAUAUAUCUGAUGCUGUAGCCAAGAUGACAGAAAAUUCGUCAAAAACUGGGUUGCAGUUGAAUAAGGAUAUCGACAUCUUGAAAGAACAGUUGACCAUUUCCUCGAUUUAUUUCCACGCAUUUAACGUAGCAGAAUACAGCUUUGAUACCAGUCAAAUCGUUGUCUAUACUACAGUGCGGGUCAACGAAGGUCAAUGUUAUGACCUGAAAACUGGAAGGUUCACUGUGUCUGUCCCUGGACUGUAUGUAUUUACCGUCCAUUACGAUGUUGGUCCUUCAGCGCGUGCUUACCUCGCAAUCGUUCAUCAAGGAGCUAAGAAACAGGAAUCAUAUAUUCACCAUACAAGCAACGAUUACGAGAGUGCGUCUAUGCAAGUUUUCAUCAAGGUCGCCAAGUCAGAUCAGAUCUGGGUGCAAGCACAACAAGGUUCUAACUUAUACAGUUCUACCACUUACAAUUCGUUUACCGGUGUCCUCAUACACGUGUAAAAUAAAGUUUCACAUCAGUUACAUUAUGAUUUCUGUAAUUAUGUUCGAAUUAUGCGUUAUAGUAGUUUAUAGUAAUAACUUUUACUUUUCUCGAUAUGUGUUUGCAUGUAUUCGGCAAAUGUUAUUACAUAAAUCUGUAUUACAAAUUUGCUUGCAGUCCACAAAACCGAUGCUUGUAAAGGAUUGUUGUGAA